CCACAUGAAACUUUUAGUUUGAAAACGAUCAAACAAGUUUUUUAUUUGUUACAUGUAAAAGAGGAAAAAUAUGACUCAAAUUUCCAACUGUUUUUACACCUUGUUCAUAUUACUGUCCCUAUUUAUUGUUGCAGCUAGAGGAAUAACAAGAAUGAAUGAACCUGUGCCAACUUUUAUACCUUGCAAGUAUACAUCUGACUGUCCAGAAAAUACGUGUUGGCCUCCUCGAAAACCGAGGUGCAUUGAACAAUAUUGUAAUUGCGUGUAAGCAUAACAUUUUAUUUAGACAUCAAAAUGGUUCUGCUCUUAUAUUUUCCUUCACACUUUGAUUUAUUUUUCUCGAAGCUAGCCAAAAGUGUAUUGUUCUAUAUUGCAUGUACUUUUACCAUAUAUAAUUCAUGUAUCUUAUCAUAAUGUUGCACUCAGUUUCAUUCAGAAUGUUGUAGUAGUGCUUCAUUCAUCGUAGAUGAUAUAAAAAAUAACAAUGUCCCUUUAUAAUAACAAUGAUGUAUUUCAAUAAAUAAAAGCAAUAUGUUUGUGUA